rnacentral:rRNA from 1 species
ACAGAGGGUGCAAGCGUUAAUCGGAAUUACUGGGCGUAAAGCGCGCGUAGGCGGUUGUGUAAGUUGGAUGUGAAAUCCCCGGGCUCAACCUGGGAAUGGCAUUUGGGACUGCAAGGCUGGAGUGCGGCAGAGGAGACUGGAAUUCCUGGUGUAGCAGUGAAAUGCGUAGAUAUCAGGAGGAAUACCGAUGGCGAAGGCAGGUCUCUGGGCUGACACUGACGCUCAUGCACGAAAGCGUGGGGAGCAAACAGGA